GAGCUCUGCAGAGUCACUGAAUCACAGAAUAUCCUCAGCUGGGAAGGACCACCAGGAUCACCCAGUCCAGCUGCUGGCUCUGCACAGACACUCCAGCAAUCCCACCCUGGGCAUUCCUGGGAGCAGUGUCCAAAUGUUCCUGGAGCUCUGGCAGCCUCGGGGCCGUGACCUUUCCCUGGAGAGCCUCUUCAGUGCCCAGCAC